AAAAAGGACACCUAGACCCAGCUCUCUAAAGGCCCAAGCCCAUCACUCAGAACCUAGCAAGGGCAGAAAACACAGAAGAGGAAAAUAGAAAAUGCAAUAUCGUCAUCUCCUCUACAGCCAUCAUCGGGAAUUAAUGUUGCCGAGAAAAGAACAUGGCCGUUGAAGGCAAAUGUCGGUUAGAAAGACCCAAAGAUAGCAUCCGCAAU
rnacentral:misc_RNA from 1 species